rnacentral:lncRNA from 1 species
UCUCGUUUUUUCUUCAAUAUCUCGCAAUUUUUCAACUUGGUGGACGCAUUGCUUCUUGGACCGGUGCUAGCUAGCUUCUCCUUCCCUCAAGGCAGCCACAAUACCGCCACAACCCCAACCAAGGUCGACAUUUAGCCAAAAUUCCGAAAUUGCCCCCAACCAAGGUCAAAAUUCUCAUCUUCUUUAUGAUUUUUCUGUUUUAGAUGAUAAAUAGUGAGUAUUUUUCAAGUUUGUUGAGUGAUUAUGUUUGUAUUUUGAUAUAUGAAUUGGUUAUGCAUUUUGUUGGAUUGUAUGUAUUUUGUUGGUUAUGCAUUUUGUUGGAUUGUUGAAUUAUUAUGUGUGUUUUGUUCACAUUUGUGGGAAUUUUGUUGGAUUGUAUGUAUUUUGUUGAAAUUUAUGUUUAGAUUACAUUGAAGUUAUACCACAUUGCCUUAACAUGAAACUUAGAUGUAUAUAUUUGUAUGAAAUUGGAAUAUGCAAAUUGGAUUAAAUUGGAAUAUGCAAAUUGUAUGAAAUUGAAUAUAUACAUUUGGCUUAAUUGUAUGAAAUUGGAUGAAAUUGAAAUAUGCAUUUAGCUUAAUUAGGUUAUUGAAAUAUGAAAUCUGAUGUAUACAUUUAGCUUAAUUAGGCUAUUAAUAGCAACUUACUUCUAGGAAUGUGUUGUAUAUGGUUGGAAAGUGCUUAAUUUUGUUAGUGACUUAAUGUUUGGCCAACUUAAUAGCAACAUACUUUUAGUGACUUAAUGUUGGUCAUUACAACUUUAGCUUUAAUUAGGUUAUUAAUAGCAAUGUAUUUCUAGUAAUUUUAAUUUAAAUAGAAUAAAAUUAAAUUAAUUUAAAAAAACAUUAAAAAAUAAUAAAUUAAUUGUAAAAUCAACUUAAUGUUUUCCCUCCGUGUGUCGCCGCUAAUGCCCUAAUGUCGCCGCUAUUGCCCUACGUCGCCGCUAAUAGCCGUCGCCGCUAAUGCUAAACGCAUAUACCCUUCACAGUUUACCUUUCUGCCAUUCACAGCUGAUACUUCUCUCUCGUUUUUUCUUCAAUAUCUCGCAGUUUUUCAACUUGGUGGACGCAUUGCUUCUUGGACCGGUGCUAGCUAGCUUCUCCUUCCCUCAAGGCAGCCACAAUACCGCCACAACCCCAACCAAGGUCGACAUUUAGCCAAAAUUCCGAAAUUGCCCCCAACCAAGGUCAAAAUUCUCAUCUUCUUUAUGAUUUUUCUGUUUUAGAUGAUAAAUAGUGAGUAUUUUUCAAGUUUGUUGAGUGAUUAUGUUUGUAUUUUGAUAUAUGAAUUGGUUAUGCAUUUUGUUGGAUUGUAUGUAUUUUGUUGGUUAUGCAUUUUGUUGGAUUGUUGAAUUAUUAUGUGUGUUUUGUUCACAUUUGUGGGAAUUUUGUUGGAUUGUAUGUAUUUUGUUGAAAUUUAUGUUUAGAUUACAUUGAAGUUAUACCACAUUGCCUUAACAUGAAACUUAGAUGUAUA